GAGUACUCGGAGGACAUUACACAAAUAUGAAGGCGGGCUGGAACCUCUCGGGGUUACAGCCUUGCUGAAUUAUUCACCCUUGUCUUUUGCGUACUUCUUGUUUCCUUGGUGGGUUCGCCCACCACUAGGACAAACAUAAACCUUUUGUAAUUGCAAUCAGCGUCAGUAACAAAUUAAUAAUUACAACUUUCAACAACGGAUCUCUUGGUUCUGGCAUCGAUGAAGAACGCAGCGAAAUGCGAUAAGUAGUGUGAAUUGCAGAAUUCAGUGAAUCAUCGAAUCUUUGAACGCACAUUGCGCCCUUUGGUAUUCCAAAGGGCAUGCCUGUUCGAGCGUCAUUUGUACCCUCAAGCUUUGCUUGGUGUUGGGCGUCUUGUCUCUAGCUUUGCUGGAGACUCGCCUUAAAGUAAUUGGCAGCCGGCCUACUGGUUUCGGAGCGCAGCACAAGUCGCACUCUCUAUCAGCAAAGGUCUAGCAUCCAUUAAGCCUUUUUUUCAACUUUUGACCUCGGAUCAGGUAGGGAUACCCGCUGAACUUAAGCAUACAAAAGGGGGGGAAAA
rnacentral:rRNA from 1 species